rnacentral:lncRNA from 1 species
CUAUGAAGUUGAGCAUUUAAAAUUUGAAUCUUUUUGAAUCGAGAUCUGCACAUUAUUCUUGAGACACUUGCAAAGAAUCCUAAGAGAUUUAAUUCUAGAAGCUUAGAAAAUAAAGCACAUGAAUGAAGAAGAUGUGAUGCUUUACUUAAUGUCUAAGGAUGCAAUACGAAGCAACGAUUUUUGCCCACCUUAUUUUUGGUGAGGUAAUCUUCCUUUGCUUGAUGCAAU